UGUAAAUACAAAGAGUGAGAGAGAAAAUCUCUUCAUAUCACUUUGUUUUCUCAUACUGUCAAAAUAAACUGAACAAACAACAACAACAAAACAUCCACACACAAACUUUGCUUCCCCCAUCCCCCCCCUCAAAAAAAAAACUUAAAGAAAAAAAAGUGAUUUAAAACAAGACAAGAGAACAAACUGCUUCAUUUCCAAUCUACUACAUGGAUUUUCACAAAAGACCUGAAACUUUCCCUGAUUGUUCCUCAAAGCCUGCUGAUUCUUACAGUGCAGGAAUGAUAUAGAUAGGCUGCCGACCUCUGAUAUGGUAUUUUUCUUUCUUGCACUUUUUGCACUAACAUUUGCUGAUGAUGUUUAACCCAGUGUUAAUUUGGUUAUCUGAUAUUGUGUGAUAUUCAGUAUAUAUGUAUAUAUCUAUAUUGGGUGUUAUAAAAUGUUCUUCAAUGAUUUUGAGGUUUUGUUUGUUUUUUUUUAUUGCUAUUGGUUUGCGGCUGCUUUACGACAGUCGACUGUGGUAGUACAUCCUAGCGGGAGGGGCUAUGAGCUCACGUGGCUUGUAGCUGUGCCAGAGAGCAAGCUUGGGUGAGCUAGCGGGGAAUAUCUUCUUCUGCAGUAGCCUUAAAAAAGACUAUUGUUCGUUCUCCUGCCAGAUGCCUUACUGCUGUGCUGCCUCGCUGGUGCCAUUAAAGGACAAGCGGCUGCCAUCCAUUCAUCCAUCCGGACUUCAAUUAUUUGGACUGAAGUACUCACACACACGCCCGCACUCAGUGCCAUACAGUCUCUUUAUUUUGCUGGCCAGCUAACAUCAUUGUUUUUUUUUCUUUUUGCAUUCACAAAGACUAUCCAAAGACAUUUUGGUUAUUGUCAAAUAGACACUCUCUGAUUACGGACUGAGGAGGUUGUGGUGUUACAACCCCAGGACUGAGAAAAAAGACUCUCUACAUAAUAUAUUCACUUGUCUCCUGGUUAGGAGAAGUGAUUAUUGAUGGAAAUAUUUUU
ensembl:lncRNA